GGGCCCGCACAAGCGGUGGAGUAUGUGGUUUAAUUCGAUGCAACGCGAAGAACCUUACCAGGGUUUGACAUCCUGCGAAUCUCUUGGAAACAGGAGAGUGCCUUCGGGAACGCAGUGACAGGUGGUGCAUGGCUGUCGUCAGCUCGUGUCGUGAGAUGUUGGGUUAAGUCCCGCAACGAGCGCAACCCACGUCUUUAGUUGCCAGCAUUUAGUUGGGCACUCUAGAGAGACUGCCGGUGAUAAACCGGAGGAAGGUGUGGAUGACGUCAAGUCAUCAUGCCCCUUACAUCCUGGGCUACACACGUGCUACAAUGGUACUUACAAUGGGAUGCAAAGAGGCGACUCUUAGCUAAUCCCUAAAAUGUACCUCAGUUCGGAUUGUACUCUGUAACUCGAGUGCAUGAAGCUGGAAUUGCUAGUAAUCGCGGAUC
rnacentral:rRNA from 1 species